rnacentral:lncRNA from 1 species
GGCGGCGCAGUGCCUCGGCGCCAUCUGCGGCGUCGCGCUCGUCAAGGGGUUCCAGAGCUCGCUCUACGACAGGUACGGCGGCGGCGCCAACGAGCUCGCCGCCGGCUACUCCACCGGCACCGGCCUCGCCGCCGAGAUCAUCGGCACCUUCGUGCUCGUGUACACCGUCUUCUCCGCCACCGAUCCCAAGCGCAACGCCCGCGACUCACAUGUUCCCGUAAGUGCAUAAACUUUCCAUCGAUUUGUGUUUGCACCCUGCAGCAAUUUGCACAUUGCAAGAACUCGAGCUCAUUGCUUCUAUUUAAUUUCGAUAAAUCAAAGGUGUUGGCUCCGCUGCCAAUCGGGUUCGCGGUGUUCAUGGUGCACCUGGCGACGAUCCCGAUCACCGGCACCGGCAUCAACCCGGCCAGGAGCCUCGGCGUCGCCGUGGUCUACAACAACAACAAGGCCUGGAGUGAUCAGGUACAUACUACCUUACUGCCAAAUUGUGCAAGAAUUGCUUUGUUUGUUUCUCAUUCCUGGCUGGUUAAUUGGCCAUGAACUGACAUUGCAUUGGUGUUCAUCUGUGUGACGCAGUGGAUCUUCUGGGUUGGGCCGUUCAUCGGCGCGGCGAUCGCGGCGCUGUACCACCAGGUCAUCCUCCGUGCCAGUGCAAGGGGCUACGGCUCCUUCCGGAGCAACGCGUAGUUGAGCUCGUCUGGUGAUAUCCGUGGUCAAGUCGGCAUUGUUUGGGCUCUUUCUCCUUCAGAGUUUAAGGUGAAUGGAGAGAACAGAGCACCUGUUCGUCAGUAGUAGAAGCAGCUUCAGUUUAAGUGAGAAGCCCUGCAGUGUGGUGUAUGUUUCAGUGUUUGCAAUGCAAGUGUAAACUCUGUCCCUCUGUUGUCUUCAUGUUUCUAAGAAUCUAAGUGAACCAAAAGUCAAUAAAUUGAGGUGGUAGAGUUGAAGUGAUCAAGGGUGCCUACAAAUUAAGGGCGAAAUUGUCCAUGUGACAGGCUCUUAGCAAGUGACAUGCUCCUAAAGAACUUUAAGAAGAAAAAUAUGUUGUUAUAUACUUCCUCCUUUUUUUUUCUAAGUCAAAAUUUUUAAGUUUAAUCAAAUUUAUAGAAAUACACAACAACAUUUUUCAACACUAAAAAACAUAUGAUCAAAAUGUUAUUCAAUGUUAGAUUUAGUGAAACAAAUUUGAUGUGGUAGAUAUUACUAAUUUUUUCUAUAGAAUUGGUCAAACGUAAAAAAAUUGACUAGAAUAAAAUUAAAGCGUGUUAUAAUAUGAAACGGUUGGUAUACUUUGAAAAAUGAAUAUUCGACCAUACUUUUACUAUUGAGUGAAUUGACAGUUUGGACCACCUUUUAUUACUAAAGUUUUACUUACUACCCUUAACUAAUAUUCUCACAUUGGAAUAAGGUAAGAUUAUCUGUGUUACACAUUGGACUGCCCAAACUCUCUUAUCUAGCUUCAUCUAUACUCUCCUCCGGUAUGUAUCGAGGACAUAUCUCUAUUUUUUCUUAAUUUAUUUUUCUAACGAAUUAACAAUACUUACCAAAUACCGUAUCGCUGGCAUAUCCCGCUCACUACUAUAAAACAUCACAUAGAGAUUAGUCUUAUAGGUGCUGGCUUAUUUAAAACCGGCUAUGAAGCUUUUUCUACAUUUUUUUCAAUGUAAAAUUGAGAACCGGUACCUAUAACCACUCAUCGGUACCGGUUUAUUUCAAAAACCGGCACCAAUAGUCCUCUAAAGUUAUAGGUGCCGGUUCUUAUAACAAACUGAUAUACAUGGACAUGGUAUAGGUGCUAGUUCUUAUAAUAAACCGACACCAAUAAGUGCGGUAUCAUAGGUACCUUUUUAUUAUGAACCAGCUCAUACGGGCAUCGUUCAUGUGUCAGUUUUCAAUAAAAACCGGCACUUAUGAGCCCAUAGGUAGCGGUUUACCAUUAAAACCGGUGCCUAUGAUGAUACAAUAUACGUGUGUUUUUUAUCUAACUUUUUCAUUUGAAGUCGGACAAAGAUAAACUUUGUAUCAAAUUUGUAGAACUCGACGAGAUUUAUAAUUUUCUAGUUGAUGACUUUUCGAUUUAAGGUUGUUUGGAUAUCAAAAAUGUGUUACAAGGUCUUGGAUCUAUUUGCUCAAGUGGAUAUUUAAAUUUUCUAAACAAUAUCUAAAGGAGACAAAAUCUAUAUAAAAGUUGUAGAGAUAGAUGAUAUCUACAUUUAUGUAGUUGACAAACUUUUUAUUUGAGCUCAUCUAAGGUGUUAAUUAUGAAUUAUAAGUUUGGAUGACAAUAGUCUCAAAAGAAUAACAUUUGUUUUCAAGACAAGUGCGUGUGUGUAAGAUGGUGAGGAAGCUUUGGUUGAAGAGAGAGAUUUUGAGUUUGAAUCUUACAUGACACACAUAUAUAUGAAUACUAGGUGAUACCCCGCGCUCUGUUGCGGGAUUCACGGAUGAGUAUAUAUUAAAUAUUGUCGAAAUGAUGAAAGUUGAAAUGUUAAGAAAAUAAUGUGAGGAAGAUGAUUUGACACAUACUUGUUGAACUCUAUAAUAGAAUAUUGUAGAUGAUAUGUCAUGCUUGCUUGGGAUUUAAAAUAGACUAGAAUAAUAAUUGCUAGUGAGUGAAGAUGUGGCAUGCUUGCAUGGGAUUUUAAAUGGGCUAGAAUAGUAAUUGCUAGUGGGUGAUGAUGUGGCAUGCUUACAUGUUGAGCUUUAACUUUAGUGGGUAACAACUAUACAGAAAGUAUAGAUUUGUUGAAACAUCCAUGUGACUGGUUGGAAGAAGAGUGAUCGUAUAGGUGCCUAAUGGAAAUACCAAAUAUUUUUUUCAAUUUUUUUAGCACCUGCAAAUUUUAAAAAAUAAGUGCACCCCUAAAGGUGCCGGUUCUAAUUUAGAACCGACACCUAUAGUGUCACAUAGACCCAAAGUCAUUGGUAUUGAAUAAUUGGUGCCAGCACCGGCUACCCCUUUGGAACCGGUACCUAUGAGCUUUUAUACAGUAGUGGCUUAUCACUGUAUCGGAUACAUAUAUCCGAUACCAGAACAGCUGAAAACUAUUGUAUCGGUGCAUCAAAAAAUGUAGAAAGUGUGGAACCUAAUCACCCAUAACUCCGUGUCAAGGGGUCCAAACUUAGGAUAUUUUUAGGCUAUUUAUAAAACUAGGAAGGUAGCCCGCGCGAAUGCGCGGGCAUACGUCAUACGCUAAGUUUGAGACAUUUAUAAGAGCAAAAUAUUAACCGUGAAUAUCUACCACGAUUUCUCCAUAAAUUGUUUUCGUCUACAUUAAUUUCUUUUAUAAUUUUCUAACAUAUUAGUUUUAUAUUAUAUCAUAUUAAAGUAAUAUCUAUAAGCAAUUAUUUAUAAUCUUCUUCAUCACUUGAAAAAGGUAGACUUAUUUUCUUUAGAAUACAUGUCAACGAAAAGUAAGUGUAAAGUAAAACUGAGGUAUUUUUCUUUUUUUAUUGCAUAUAUAUUAUCAUGGUUUAUUCGAGGAUUAAUUGGGUGGGACAUGAUGCUCCACUAAAUAUAUGGGUUUAUAUAGCUUAAUAUGAUUGAUGUAAUUUGAGAGUUGGUCCAUGUAUGAACAUUUCAUAUAGAGUGGGUCAGAAGUUCCACGCAAGCUAACGUGAAAGCGAAAUAUAAUUGCACAAUACAUCAUGUAUACACAUCUGGUUUUUCUUAUAUAGGAUAGAUCUAACUAUUAGAAAUAAUGAUUCCACCGGUUUAAAAGGCAUAUAAGUAUUCCAAAAAUAUAGCUUAAAAAUUAUGGUCGGUUUAAUAUCCAACAUUAUUGCGAAGUGAACGUAGCUCAACCGGUUAGGUUCGUUGUAAUGGAAUUUGCCCACUCGGGUUAAUGUCCCAGACUUAACAAAUUCUUUCAGUAGUAGGUGACGUACACAUCGACAGCGAGACGUACGUAGUGACUUCGUCAAUCUUAAUAUAUAUCACCCUAGUCUCUCGGAAGUACUCAUAGGGGUAUAUGCAUGUGUGUGUUCAUAGAUGUGAGUGUAUGCGCGUUGUGAGCGCCCGUGUUUGUACUUUGUACUAAAAAAAUAUUAAAGAUUAUUUAUUGUUUCUCUUUUAGUUUAAUAGAUAAAACAAUAGGGAGGGGAUGACAGAGUUGUGUAGAUGUGAGAGUGAGGAGGAGGUGGAGAUUUUAUUUUUCUAAUUUUUCUAAAUGAUUUAAGUGAAAGCCGAUGAUGGGGUUUGUACAUGCCCAGGAUAAUUUUUUUCUCAAUCUGGUGGAUAGUAGUACAUAUGGCAUAUUUGAGAUUUUUUUUUUCACUUUUUUGGGUGAACAGUACAUAUGUACGUGUAACUCGUAGCAAUUAGGUGGGACCGUGGUAGGGCUAAUCCUUCUUUUUUUCAAUCGUAAUUACUUUUUUUUUCUUUUUUUUAAGUGAGUAGCAAAGUACGGAAGUACGUAUAUAUACGUACAACUAUUCACGUGAUUUUUUUUAUUCGAGCAGGUUAGAUGUAUUUUAAAUAAAUCUAAUCUAAUAAUUUAAAAAUAGUGGGUCCACCAAUAUAAAUGAUUGCAUGUUUUUUCUCACAAUUCGUAAGGUUUUCUCUAAUUUAUUAGAGCACCACGUGGUGGAUAGAACCGUUCGUAGGAGCGCCACAUGGCUAUUUAGAAGCAUUUAUAGGAAGUUUAAUAGAUUUUUAGUCUCUAAAGUUACCUAUUGUAUGUCGACCUGAUGUAUCAUGAUGUAUUUAAGACCACAACAUUACUUUUAUACACCGAUACUUUAUAUAAUUUAACGAAUACAAUGGAUCAUAAAUUGGGCAUAUAAUUAAAAAUAAUUUAAAAGAUAAUGUGUAGAGACCGUUGAUUUGAUAUUUGAUAUUUAUAUUAUAGAUAUAGUUUACAUGCCUAUACUUCCAUAUAUUAUGUAAUAUUAUAUUUUAUAUUAUACAAAGUCCUACAUUAGAUCGUCGUUUUUUUCCAAGGGUACUAACGACACAUUUUUUUUGGCUUUAUUAUUUUUUAUCGUACGUAUAUGUUUAUUUCUUUUCCUUCCGCCUAACAGCAGGAAGCUUUAUUUGUUUUUUUAUUCAAUUAUACUUGCGUACGGACACCAGUUGCAUAUUUUUUAAGGAAAAACUAUCACCUUUUUAAUAAUAGAUUUAAUCUAAUGGUCUAAAUUAACGGGUCCACCAAUUUAAGUGAAAAUCAACGGUGAUAUUAGAUAGUGCCACGUGGCGGUCUAGGAGUGUUUGUAGGAGCGCUAUGUGACGGUUUAGGAGUGUUUGUAAGAAGCUUAAUGGACUUUUAGUAUAUAAUAGAUAAGAUUUUAAAACUGGUCAUAAUGUGAAAAAUCAAGUGUUGUGGUAUAUAGUACGAAAUUGAAGGGUUCGAUUCAGAAACACGAAACGACCCUAACAGGAGAGAAGAGCCAACCGACCAAAGAAUAAAAAGCACACACGAAUCCGAGUCACGCAUCACGUUCACUAGCUGCAACAGGGAUGGAUGCAACUGCUUAGCUCCCUUACAAAUGCAUAUACUAACAUGCAUCCUUUAGGGAAAAACUCGCUAAUUAAUGAAGCUAUCUACAGCUUUCCCUUUCUCAGUAACAUGAUACUCCCUCCGUAUUUUAAUGUAUGACGCCGUUGAUUUUUUGACAAACGUUUGACCUUUCAUCUUAUUUAAAAAAUUUAUGUAAUUAUAAUUUGUUUUAUUGUGACUUGAUUUAUCAUCAAAUGUUAUUUAAGCAUGACAUAAGUAUUUUUAUAUUUGCAUAAAAUUUUUGAAUAAGACGAGUGGUCAAACGUUGGUUAAAAAGUCAACGGCAUCGUACAUUAAAAUAUGAAGGGAGUAUUAACUAACCAAAGUGAUCGAUCAAGAAAAACUGCAGCGUAGGCAUACAACGAGGACUGAUCCAGCAGGCAAACAUCCAGCAUCCCGGCCGGACCAGGACAAGAACCGGUGAGAUCGAAAUGGAAAGUAACCAUGGGCUACUGAUCACUUGCUGCAUCCAACCAAACUCUCACAUUACCAACUUUCUGACCAAGCUUAAUUUCCAUGUGAAUUUGCAUUAGAUUCUCCUCUAAUGGUCGGCGUAUGCAUGCAUAACACACGACAGAGUGACAGAGCACGUACUUGUACACUUGGUCAUCUUAAGCUCAACCCAGCAUUCCUGGCUAUGAGUAUUAGUGUGCAAGCAUAUAAAGCAAACUGGAAUUGGGAAGUAUCAGUGGAGUGUAUGACUCCAUCCAUCAUUAUUUAAAUUCAAUUAUCAUUAAAUAUGACUAUAUAUUACAUUCUUAGUUGGCAUGUAGAGGCCAGAACUAUAAAUCCUUUAUCGAAGAAACUAGUAAUAAUGCACGCGUGAGGAAAAGAUAUAAUGGUACGAUGCUGGACUAAGCCGUCAUAUAGAAUAUAAUUUAAUUUGAUUCAAAUAUUUUAGUGACCAAAUAUGUUCAACAUUUUGUUUUUAAAAUAUCAAACACUCAUAUUCAAAAGAAAAAAAAACAUGGUUGUAUAAUUUUGUAAUAUAUUAACAAGAUGCCCGCACAGUUAUCUAUAUAAAUACCUUUGUGGUUUUUGUAAAUAUAUACAACCAGUGAAGGAUCAGCAAUACCAAACAUUUUUCGAUGAAGAUCAUAUAAUUUAAUUUUUAACAAAUAAUAAAGUAAAAUCACCAGUACAUCUUAACAUAAUAAAAUCUAUGAAACAUAAUUAAUAUGCCCGCGCAUGUGCAUGCGAAAGUGAGCAUGAGGCUAGCGGCAGCAACAUAUGAUGCAAGUGAUGGCAACACUAUGGGGCGAGCUCAGGAAUGUGGCUGUUGACAAGCUUAGGGGAAGUGCCGGCUAAAAUAACUAUUAGAUACCCCACGCAUUACAACGGAAAAUUUAAUAUACUUCAAAGAAAUCUCGAAGAAAACAAUAUAAUAAGUAAAUUGUUUACACAUAAUAUCUAAAUAGAUAACAUUUUUUCUAUAUUAGUUGAUGUGAAAUUGCAAUUCUAUAUGAUACUUGGAUGGUUAUGUAUCAAACAUAAGAAGGAUCCAGUGACUAUUAGUUUUCUAAGUGUCAUAGUUCAAUGUGCAAUAACUAUAUUUAGUGAGUUUUAAUACAUAUGAUAAAUGGAUGGUUAAGAUCAAAGCAUGAGAAUAUUUUUUUAAGAUGAUAUUGCUCAAUACAUGACAAGCUUUUGGUAUAGGAUGUACAGAUUGGCCGGCCGGUGACGUGAAAACAGAAUGCUCGCUUCUUUUCAAAUUGUUUCAUCCUUGUGGAUGGAAUUGAACCUCCGGUGACCAGAAUGACAGCACUAGCAACGUGCCAGAGGACUGAUGAUGACCGAUCCAACUGUGUUGUGAUCAAGCUUUUCUUUGUCCUUGUUAAUUCUUGAAAGUGAGCUAACUUAAUUAAUUCUAUCAGUUAGGUGAUGAGUGUCAGUGCAUCUUAGCCACAAGACAUGAACCAAAAAGUGUGCUAGAUGGAGAGAUGGUGUCAGCUCCGGGAAUGAGGCUAUAUAUGAUGGACGGUUUUGUUACAACCAGAGGUGCCACUUAGCAAAGGAACACUAACAAACGCUAAUAAGGGUGGCAGAAUGAACCUACAUCAACUAUAAAUUAGAAGACAGACCAUACAACACACAGGAUUUGUUGAUGAAAUUCAACGAUUUCUAUUGAAACUGUCCUAUAUUUAAGUUUUAAAAGUUCGAUGAAAUCUUACACAAGAGAAACGUCUAGAGGUCUUCCGGCUAGCUCCACAAGGUGGUGGGCUAAACGACCUAGAGUUUCAGAACCUCACCACUUCUAUUUUUUUUUUGCGGGGACUCACCACUUCUAAUUAUUUGAUAUUAAGUCAUUCCCUAAUAUUCGUGUUUUUUAUAUCUUAUACAAAACUUUAAAACUUUAUGACCACAAGAAGUUUUAGAAACGCUAGAGGACAUGUAAAGUCCUGACUCAAGUACUAGUACACCUCACGUAUUUUAUAACCGGCGCUGCUAUACAUACGACUAAUUUGUUACGAUAGUUGUACGAUGAAUUGUUUCUCUUCUAGGCUCAUAAAGCUUAUUAACGUUGCAAGUUCUGGUCCCACACUGGACCUCUUCUAGCGCUGACCCUAUAUCCAAAAACCCAAGCUCAUCACAUCAUCGUCCUGACAUCUUACAAUUAAGCCUCCUGGCACAGCUAACCAGAGUAAUUUAUUUUUCCUAAUAAAUCUUAUAUACUCGUACUGUCGCUUAACACUUAUCAUGUGACCCAGCUUAAGUUAAGUAAAUUAUUUUACCGUGAACCUAGUUUAAGUAAACUAGAUAGGUACCCCGCGCGUUGCUACGGGAGAAUUGUGUGAUAAAAUAGUUAGAUAUGAGUUGUAGAAAAAAUAUCUUAUUUACUAUAUGAUUUUGUUUUAUGUGCUUGUAUAUUUUGUACCUCGAUCAAUUAUUCAAAAGUUAUAAAUGGUUGAGUUAUAUGUUGUGGCUUUUAGGAAGAAGAGAUGCAAUUUGCACCCUUGAUGAAUCAUCCAAGGGCUAAAAACAAUUGAGGUGACGUGGCUUCACGAGAGAAGAGAGAAUUAGCAUUAACUACAUUUAGUGGGGAUGAGCUUUAUAGAUAUAUAGGAUUACCCAUGCAAAUAUGUUCCUUGCAUCUCGGACCCUGGUAGCAUCACCCCUAGUUGUAAGUAUUCUAAAUUUCCAAUGGCACAAAUCAGGAUAAGAUGCAGCAAACGUUUAUGUAUGAGCCAAUGUUUGACAUGGUUUAUAUUUAUUUGGAUAUAGAUAGAGCAAAAAAGGCAAAGAAAAAUAAUGAGUAUAUGCGUAUGGGAUUGGGCUGCAACAUGCGCGUGCACCACGUAACGUUAAGAUGCCAAGCGCCGUCCUCAUUUGAUCGUACAAAAACAUCAUAUACGUAGCAUUUUCCAUUUCAUAACAGUCUCAUUCAUUAAUAGGGAUUCCCAUGUGUUUCAAGAUAACCCCUUCCAUCCUUAUUACCAGCUCGUUAGCAAUAGUUUGAACGAACUUCUUAGGUCUUACCAGAUUUCAAACUUUGUCAAUGUAAAAUAUUUCAAUUAACGAGAAGAAUCAUAAUCAAAUAUAUAAAUCUAGUUGGAGUAUGAAAAAUGUAUUGUCCAAAUAAGAAAACAUAGUAAGAAACUCUAAAACUAUAAUAGAAAAAAAAACGGUUAGGGUGUAUGCCUACACCCACCAGAAUAUAUGUUAUGCUGCCCGCGUAUGCGGAUAUGUUCUCAAUAGAAAUUUAGCAUUAUUAGAGAUUUGUCGUUGUAUACGUUGAUUGCGUGUAUAAGUAAUAUAUGUAUGUCUUCCUAUAUAUAUUAGUAAUAACAUUUCUGUAUAAUGUAAUGAACCAGGUUCAUAUAAUUAGAGAUAGACGAGAAGGAUGAUUAAGAAUAAAACAUUCGGCCUCGUGGCUAUGUACGCUGAGUGUACGAACGUGUUGUGGGAGGAGGGGAUGGAAUGAUGAUGACUCUGUUUUUAGCAGUAGAGAUAAGAAAAAUCCAAAUGACAAACAAAAUAAAUGUGGAAGGAUCUAAACGCCGUUAGUUGUCCAUCAACAUUGACAGCUGAAAAUGCCUUCCAAAUUUCAUUACAAACCAUGAUGAAGCCAUCUUCUUCUUUCCCUGAUUCACUCAUAAACCCUCUAUAAAUGGUUCCUAUCACAACCACAAACACCACAGCUCAAAACACUUCCAACUUCCUGAGCAUUUCUCCAUUUGUCUCUUCCAAGGCAACAAUGGGCAAAGAGGUUGACGUGUCCACUCUCGAGGCCGGCGGCGUCCGGGACUACGAGGACCCGCCGCCGGCGCCGCUCGUCGACGCCGACGAGCUGUGCAGGUGGUCCCUGUACCGCGCCGUCAUCGCCGAGUUCGUGGCCACGCUGCUGUUCCUCUACGUCACGGUGGCCACGGUGAUCGGGUACAAGCACCAGACGGACGCCGCCGCGAACGGCGCCGACGCGGCGUGGGCGUCCUCGGCAUCGCGUGGGCGUUCGGCGGCAUGAUCUUCGUCCUCGUCUACUGCACCGCCGGCGUCUCCGGCGGGCACAUCAACCCGGCGGUGACGCUCGGCCUCUUCCUGGCCCGGAAGGUGUCCCUGGUGCGCGCCCUCCUGUACAUGGCGGCGCAGUGCCUCGGCGCCAUCUGCGGCGUCGCGCUCGUCAAGGGGUUCCAGAGCGGCCUCUACGCGCGGCACGGCGGCGGCGCCAACGAGCUCGCCGCCGGCUACUCCACGGGCACCGGCCUCGCCGCGGAGAUCAUCGGCACGUUCGUGCUGGUGUACACCGUCUUCUCCGCCACCGACCCCAAGCGCAACGCCCGCGACUCCCAUGUUCCGGUAAGCAUAUAUCGGAGUACACAACUUUGUGUUACAUGGCAAGAACUCGAGCUCAUUGCUUCACUUCUGUGGUAAAAAUCAAGGUGUUGGCGCCGCUGCCGAUCGGGUUCGCGGUGUUCAUGGUGCACCUGGCGACGAUCCCGAUCACCGGCACCGGCAUCAACCCGGCGAGGAGCCUCGGCGCCGCCGUCAUGUACAACAACAGCAAGGCAUGGAGUGAUCAGGUAACGUAAUCUUGCUGCCAAAUUUGUGCGAGAAUAAUUAAUAAUGCUGUUGAUCACAAGCCAGGAUAAUGAACUGACAUUGCAUUGACGCACACGCAGUGGAUCUUCUGGGUCGGGCCGUUCAUCGGGGCGGCGAUCGCGGCGCUGUACCACCAGGUCAUCCUCCGCGCCAGCGCAAGGGGCUACGGCUCCUUCCGGAGUAACGCCUAACCUAGCUCGUUCGUUCGUCCUGUGAUCUGCAUGGCCAAGUGGAAGCCAUUAUUAUUCAGGCUCUCUGCUUCUCCUUCAGAGUUUAAGAUGAAAUGGAGGGAACAGAUAGCUAGAGCGCUGGCUUUUUAUCCGUAGUGGAGAUAUGCAGCUUCAGUCUAAGUGUGAAGAUUGCAGUGCUGCAGCAGUGCAAGCAUUCGUGUGUUUGUGCGUACGUGCAAAUGUGACCUUUUUCUAUGUAUGCCCUUCGGUUUGAACCUGAAAAUCAAUCAAUAAUUUUUUGAAAUCCACUAAACACUGAGAUGUACAAAUGUACCAAUGUACCGUGUGUUUGGGUUCCAGGAAUGAGAUGGAUCAGGAUGGAUCAUACUCUGAACAAAAUUUUCUCGGUGUUUGGUUUGGAGAUAGAUGUAAUCCAAUAUCCGGGUUGACUUUGUCCCUAAAAAACUGGUAGAACAAUUCAAUCCACUUUUCCCUCUUGCUGACAUGUGGAUAUCACUUAAAAGGUAUUACAUAGGAUCAUCCCUUAUGUUAAACAGAUGAAUGGGAUCAUCCCAUCAAAAAAACAAGUACAAGUCCAACACACCUUACCACAUUCCCAAACCAAACCAUACAUAGUGAUUAAGAAUCCGCAUGUGUAAAGUACUAAAGUAUCCGUAUGGAAAUACUCUGAACCCAAUGGCGCCAAAACCACAUGAAACCUGAUUGCUACAUACUCCCUUCGUUUCAUAUAUAAGACGUUUGACUUUUUUUUCUAGUCAAACUUUAUUAAGUUUAACCAAGUUUAUAGAAAAUUAGCAAUAUCUAAAUUAUCAAAUUAGUUUUAUUAAAUCUAGGAUUGAAUGUAUUUUGAUAAUAUAUUUGUUUUGUAUUGAAAAUAUUAUUAUACUUUUUCUCUAAAUUUAGUCAAACUUAAAGAAGUUUGACUAAAAAAACAAACAUCUUAUAAUAUGAAACGGAUGAGUAGGCCUUAGAAAGCUUGAAGGUAUUGACUAAAGUAGCAAAUUUGCUUUUGGUAAAAUAUGAGAUACCCCCGAUGACAUUGGAGACUUAAAUACACAUGUAUGAAUACAUAUACUUCUAUGGAAAGGAUUUUCUCAAAUGGGUAUAGGACCGCAAACAGAGAUAAGGAUCACAAGACCAACUUCAGUAAGAUCUCAAAGACCUAACUCUACCGAAGACUUCCAAGAAUAAAUCUUUAAGUCCAUCCCAAAUACAAAAGAAUCUAGGGGUUCAAAUUAAGGACCUAAGAUAGAGCCAGGACUUUGAAUCUCAGAUCAAGUAUUGAAUCAAGCAUCAAGUCUACAAUCAACGAGCCAUCUAUUAAUCUAUAGAGCCAAACGCUUCAUCAAGCCAUGCCAUCAGAGUUCCCGACGAGACUAUGUACAUAUAUAGGACUAGACUAGAUCUGCAUAUAUAUCUUUUAACUAUUUCCAUAUACAAUAGGGUGUAGGAUUGUUACACUGAGAAAGGCCUACAACUUUGUAAAAUCUCUCGUGCGUCUAACCUGGGAUAAACCUGUAUAUCCCUGAAGAGAGCUAAAGGACGGACAAUACCCAGUUAUAAAUUCUGCUAUAGUAAGAUAUUUUCAACUAUAGUUGAAUUUGAUAUUCAACUAUUGCUACUAUUUUCAUAAAUACAAUUAUACAUUAUAGCUAUAUAAAUCAAUCAACACCGUCAUAAGAUAGACCCACCAUGAUUUGACAGUAGAAACAUCUCUUUCUAACAUGAUUUUUUUUUACCAAUACAGUAAGCACAGUGGUUCUGGUUCUACUUCUACUUCGGUCUUCUUGUAAUAAUAUAGGAGUAAUAGCUAAACAAACAUAGAAUAACAACAAAAAAAUAUUUAGUGAGUUAAAUGGAGCGUGGUGAACUGAUGAGGAAAGUAUAUGUGCACGUUUUUCCAAAUCUAAAAGAGCACAUAUACCCUUAGCUGCUGACAAGUAUUUUGACCAAAUUAUCACAAAACUAUAGAUUUAAGGAGUUGCAUCACAAAACUACAUAUUUAGCACCAAAUUUAUCACAAAACUACAUAUUUUAGAUUAAGUAUCAUAAAAAUGCAUAUUUAAUAUUGAACUUAUCACAAAACUACAACUUUUGGAGUUUAUAUCCCUAGCACCAUUGUUAUGGUGGAGCUAUAAACAUCAUUACUUUGUGAUUAAAUUGAUUCUAAACCUAAAGUUUUGUGAUAAUUUAAUUACUAAAUAUGUAGUUCGUGACACUUCAUCUUAAAUGUGUAGUUUUGUGAUAAAUUUAGUGUUAUAUGUGUAGUUUUGUGAUACACCAAGUUAAAUCUGUAGUUUUGUGAUAAUUUGGUCAUAGUAUCUAUAGUUUUGUAAAAUUUACUCAUUAAAAUAUUACCUCAAAAGAAAAAUUUGAGUAAGAGCAAGUUUAAUAGUAUAACCAACUAUUGGCUCUAAAUCAUCUAUAGUUAAUUUAGUAGCUAAUUCAUACAAUAGUUACAUAUAAACAUGUACUACAUAAUUAAUGCAUGGUCCCACUUGUCAUAUCCACAUGUAUCUUGGAGUUCGUGUUGCAGCUGGCUACAAAUCUGUAGACCGCUACUCUUAUCUCUCCUUAAAAUAUGUUUAUAGCUGAUUUAUAGUCUACUAUCGUACCUGCUCUAAGUGCAACAAGCAGUCUACGCUCAAGUCCAACAUAGUUACACGAGCAAAUUAACUUGCCUAGAUUUUAUUGUCAGCGUUAUGCUUGCAUUUAUCAACUUACCGCACUUGCUGGAGAGAGUCUAACUUUUUAUAGAAAAGAAUCUACUAUAUCUUACAUACUAACUUGAACAGCUCACUUUUUAUCAACAUAAUACACCCUAAGUACUGUCUUCGCAUGAUAAACACACAACUGUAAAAUAGCAAAACAAUCAGGAGCCAUGGAUUAUAUUACCACAUCUAUGUCAAAUAUAAUGCAAGCCAAUCCAGCAUCCACAAGGUCCAAGACAAUGGCAAUUGGCAAGUAAAUUCUCGAAUCCAUCCAACUAAUGGUGGUCAGAAGUGUAAAAACCAUGGGCUAAUCAAGUUGUAUCCAGUGAACUGAGCUCCUCAUCUCAGCCUUUUUUGGUCAUACGAAUUUACUUAAUUAAUCUAGAUUAUUUGGUCGGCGCAUGCAUACAUAAUACCAAACAGAGAAGGCUCGAUCUCAUUCUAUAUCUAAUUAGGCAAACAGUAAAUCUUGAUACUAAAUGAUAGCUAUCAAGCAGGCAGGCAGCAGGUAGAUAUGCAGAGAAAAAGGUGAGAUAAUUAUAUCCAUAGUUCAUGACAGGAGAACAACCGGCUUAAUUGUGGAUGGAAUUGAAUCUCCGGCUCAGCAUGACAACAUCCAGAGGCAGAAUGUACACUUUACAUUUGGUACGUUUGUAUUAAUUAAUUAUGUGGUUAAGCCUUUCCAUUGUCUUGAUUGAGAUCACUGAACUGGCUGGUUAAAUAAUCUAGCUUUUAUUAGUGUUUCCUGGCCACAGGAUUUAGAUGGAAGGAUACAUGAUGCUGGUGGUGGGCCCAUACUGCAGCAAAGAUGGGGAUGAGGGUCGGCGCUGAACGGCUGCCCAAACCAAUAGAUCAUCAUGGGAUUAUUCAAUUAUUACCUUCUCAACGACAAUUACUUGUUGAGGCAGUUGAACCAUAGUUUUGAUGUUAAUUUUCUGUGGUAGUUUAAUAAUUUGAGUCAGGUUAUUGCAUACGAUGUCUCCAAGGUUUCUCUUUCAGUUUAGCCGUUUGGGGGAGGGUUAUAGCACCCGGCGAUAUCCAACCACGGUAAUUCUAAUAAACCGAUAGAAACGGAACAAAAUUUAUCAAAACUUUUAAUUUAUGUUUAAAAUAAACUUGGUCAGGUUAAUGGCGUGGGACACGUUACCUACCCACAGACAAUAAACCUAUGGUACGUACGGUUAUCACAGUAACCACAUAAUAAGGAAACCCCGAUUGCAUCAUUGAUUCUUGGCAUGGAUGUACUAAUUGAUUACUUCCUCCGUCCCUAAAUAUAAGGGAUUUUGGUUGGAUGUAAUGUAUUCUAGUACUACGAAUCUGGGCAUUCUCUAUGUUCAUAUUCGUAGUACUAGGAUAUGUCACAUCCAACCAAAAUCCAUUAUAUUUAGAGACGGAGGGAGUACUACUAUAAACUCUCCUUAGGACAGCUUAGGAGAUGUCCUAAAAACAGGAAUUUAUCCCACAAUUUUCAUAACAGAGUAGUAGAACAAUUAUAUGCUAACAAUAUCAUGUUCCGAAAUACACGUUGUAGGUUGACAAUAUGUUUUAUUGUUGGAAACAUGGAAUUCCAUCUCUUGAACGUGCGUUGAAAGGAUGCAUUUGCAAGUUUACAAGUGUAAUGUGUGCGUGUGUAUUGUGUGAUAUGGUGGGUGUGCACAAGUUCAUCUUUAGGUAAUCUCUACUAUUAUUAUUAUAAAAGUUUAAGGUGUUUUUGCCUAAAAAUUGUGUAUGUCGUCCGAUUUGUUUCCGUUGUCGUAUCAGUUUAGUUCGGCAUGAUUCAGCCACCGUUCGCUCGCUCGGACUGACAAUGAAGAUUGAAUCGAGCUAUGUAAAGAAAAUGAUUAUUUUCUUGCUUUAUGUGUGCAAAUUUAAUGAGAGAAUCCAUUAUAUGCCAUUGACUUUGUCACACGUCUACGAUUUGCCACUGACUUUAUCAUGUCCUACAAUAUGCCAUCGACUUUUGCUUAACUUUUACGAUUUACCAUCGCCGUCUAGUUAGUCUCCGUUAGUACUGUACAAAUUUGUUGAAAUGACCAAAAUACCCCUAGGACAAAAUUUUCAAAAUUCGGAUAAAAAUUCUGAAGUAUCAUAUUUUAAGUUUUUGGAAAAAAAAUGGAUGUUUACAAUCUUAUGUUUAUAAUAUGAUAUUUUGAUAAUUUUAUCCAAAUUUUGGAAGUUUUGUACUAGGGGUAUUUUGGUCAUUUAGACAAAAUUGUACAAUGCUAACAGAGGCUAACCGGACGAUGAUGGUAAAUUGUAGAAGUUAGGCGAAAUUCAAUGACAUAUUGUAGAACAUGACAAAGUCAGUGGCAAAUCAUAGCCGAGUGACAAAGUCAGUGGCAUAUAAUGGAUUCUCUCAAAUAUAAUUGGGCUGUAGAAAGAUAGCCAAACUAACAUAUAUGGGUUGUAAACUUGAGGAAAAGGAAUAAGUCUAUUUUACCUAUCUCCUGUUUUGCUUAUGAUCAAAUGGCAUCUCUCAACCCAAAACCGGGUAUAAUGCUUCCCUCAACAUAAAAAACCGGUGCAAAUUGCAAAUUAGCUCCAUUAGUGGUUUAGACAAUUGUUUAUGCUAAGUCGGUAGAAAAUUUUUUAAAAAUAAUAGUGGGACCUAUAUGUCAUCCCCUUUCUAUCUGACACAUAUGUGCAAAUUAAAUUGGCUCUACCCAUUGCAACGCACGGACAUCUUUUCUAGUUGAAAAGUUUGUGCUGCCUAUCCCAUUUAUAUAUACAUGUAUAUAUUUGAGAUAAAUUUUGCUACAUAACAUCGUUAACUUCACGUUUUAACUAUAGGAAGCCACAAAAGUGAACCUUUAGAAGAUCACAUACUCAAAGUUGGAUAUUUGCUAGUGUACACUACACCAAUUAAAAUAUUUACUUUUAGUUGAAUUGGAGAGAGAAAUCGUGUGAAAUGUCGAAAAUACCUUUGAGCCCACAUGUCAUAUCUCCCAUCCAUCUUCUCUUCUCUCUAUCCCCUCCAUCCACAUCAGCAAUGCCGGAGGACCGCCGCCACUGCCCUCUCGUCCCCAAUCUCAAUCGCCUUCACUACCUCCCUCUAGCAAUCAGCCCAUGUGAGUCCAUUCUCAUCCACCAGCUGUCCAAUGACCGCCGCCACAACCCUAUCGUCGCCAUCCUUGGCUGCCAAGGCCACCUCCCUCCCCCUGUCGGCCCGCGCAAAUCCCCUUCUUGUGUAGAUCACCGCUGUCCGACGACUACCACCACAUCUUCUUGUCCAUCCCUUGCCAACUCCUCGCCUCCCUCCCGCCCAUGUGGACCUCCUCCCCGUCCAGAUUAACGCCAUUGUGGUCCAGGUAGAGGAAGAAGGAGAGGCGGUGACACAACAAUAGCAGUGGCAGCUCGGCCUCGAGGGAGUUGUCGGCCGUCUCAGGAGACGACGAGUCCCUGCCUCACCACACUUUUGUGUUGAUGUGGACGGAGGGGAUGAGAGAAAGAUAGGAGUGGGAAAGCUGAAAUGUGGGCCCGUGAGUAUUCCUGACAUUUCAAACGAUUUAUUUCUCCUAUUCAAUUAGAAAUAAAUAUUUUAAAGUUAUGGUGUCCAUCAAUAAAUAUCCAACCUUUGAAAGUGUCGUUCUCCCAAUUUUACGGUAUAGCUAAAAUCAUGAUGUUACAAUGUGAUGUAACAAAAUUUGCCUAUAUUUGAAUACCAAGUUCAGUUUAAACUACUGACUAUUUCGAUGCAUUCCUGAUUUAUUUGCACAUAUUUCAUAACUCAGCUCAUCAGCAGGUCAUCCCUUCCACAAAACCGAGCUAUGUCGCCGUGGAUUUAUGUUGUAGCUAUGGUGCCAGAACAAAACAUUUAAUGGAGCAUUAAGGGAGUUGUACAUACUACAUGGUUCACAGGCACACACAGCUCAUGGGAUUUGCUGUACAAUAAUGUUGACAGCUAUAGCCAAGAUCACUACAAAGUUUCCAAAAUUAAGAAAACCAAAUUAAACCAUACAAUAAGACCAUCCUCUUGUUCUUCUCACAAAACCCUUAAACCCCUAUAAAUACCUCCCCCAUGGCACCCAAGAUUCCACAACACAAACACUUGCAACCCCCAAGCAUUUCCGUUUCUUGCUCUCCUCCGUCCGUCGAGCCAAUCAGGCAAGCGAGAGCAAACGCAAUGGGCAAAGAGGCCGACGUCGAGGCCGGCGGCGUCCGGGACUACGAGGACCCGCCGCCGGCGCCUCUCGUCGACAUCGACGAGCUCGGGAGGUGGUCGCUGUACCGCGCCGUCAUCGCCGAGUUCGUGGCCACGCUGCUGUUCCUGUACGUCACGGUGGCCACGGUGAUCGGGUACAAGCACCAGACGGACGCGUCGGCGUCCGGCGACGACGCGGCGUGCGGCGGCGUGGGCGUCCUCGGCAUCGCGUGGGCGUUCGGCGGCAUGAUCUUCAUCCUGGUGUACUGCACCGCCGGCAUCUCCGGCGGGCACAUCAACCCGGCGGUGACGUUCGGCCUCUUCCUGGCGCGCAAGGUGUCCCUGGUCCGCGCCAUCCUCUACAUCGUGGCGCAGUGCCUCGGCGCCGUCUGCGGCGUCGCGCUCGUCAAGGGGUUCCAGAGCUCGUUCUACGACAGGUACGGCGGCGGCGCCAACGAGCUCGCCGCCGGCUACUCCAAGGGCACCGGCCUCGCCGCCGAGAUCAUCGGCACCUUCGUGCUCGUGUACACCGUCUUCUCCGCCACCGACCCCAAGCGCAACGCCCGCGACUCCCAUGUCCCGGUAAG